ACUAUUUUGGCAGAAAAUUGUAAUGAUUUUAGAAUUCAUAUAUAUAUAUUAUAUUUAAUAUAUAAGUAGUA
rnacentral:tRNA from 1 species